rnacentral:rRNA from 1 species
GAUGAACGCUAGCUACAGGCUUAACACAUGCAAGUCGAGGGGAAACGACAUCGAAAGCUUGCUUUUGAUGGGCGUCGACCGGCGCACGGGUGAGUAACGCGUAUCCAACCUGCCCACCACUUGGGGAUAACCUUGCGAAAGUAAGACUAAUACCCAAUGAUAUCUCUAGAAGACAUCUGAAAGAGAUUAAAGAUUUAUCGGUGAUGGAUGGGGAUGCGUCUGAUUAGCUUGUUGGCGGGGUAACGGCCCACCAAGGCGACGAUCGGUAGGGGUUCUGAGAGGAAGGUCCCCCACAUUGGAACUGAGACACGGUCCAAACUCCUACGGGAGGCAGCAGUGAGGAAUAUUGGUCAAUGGACGUAAGUCUGAACCAGCCAAGUAGCGUGAGGGAUGACUGCCCUAUGGGGUUGUAAAACCCUCUUUUUAUAAGGGGAAUAAAAUACGGGACGUGUCCUGUUUUGCAUGUACCUUAUGAAUAAGGACCGGCUAAUUCCGUG